UACGAAGGGUGCAAGCGUUAAUCGGAAUUACUGGGCGUAAAGGGUGCGUAGGCGGUUCGUUAAGUCUGUCGUGAAAGCCCCGGGCUCAACCUGGGAACUGCGUUUGGUACUGGCAAGCUAGAGUACGGCAGAGGGGGGUGGAAUUCCACGUGUAGCAGUGAAAUGCGUAGAGAUGUGGAGGAACACCGAUGGCGAAGGCAGCCCCCUGGGCCGAUACUGACGCUCAGGCACGAAAGCGUGGGGAGCAAACAGG
rnacentral:rRNA from 1 species